GAUGAACGCUGGCGGCGUGCCUAAUACAUGCAAGUCGAGCGAAUGGAUUAAGAGCUUGCUCUUAUGAAGUUAGCGGCGGACGGGUGAGUAACACGUGGGUAACCUGCCCAUAAGACUGGGAUAACUCCGGGAAACCGGGGCUAAUACCGGAUAACAUUUUGAACCGCAUGGUUCGUAAUUGAAAGGCGGCUUCGGCUGUCACUUAUGGAUGGACCCGCGUCGCAUUAGCUAGUUGUUGAGGUAACGGCUCACCAAGGCAACGAUGCGUAGCCGGACUGAGAGGGGGAUCGGCCACACUGGGACUGAGACCCGGCCCAGACUCCUACGGGAGGAAGCAGUAGGGAAUCUUCCGCAAUGGACGAAAGUCUGACGGAGCAACGCCGCGUGAGUGAUGAAGGCUUUCGGGUCGUAAAACUCUGUUGUUAGGGAAGAACAAGUGCUAGUUGAAUAAGCUGGCACCUUGACGGUACCUAACCAGAAAGCCACGGCUAACUACGUGCCAGCAGCCGCCGUAA
rnacentral:rRNA from 1 species